UGAAGCGCUGAAAAUCAUCAA
rnacentral:piRNA from 1 species